rnacentral:rRNA from 2 species
UACGGAGGGGGCUAGCGUUGUUCGGAAUUACUGGGCGUAAAGCGCACGUAGGCGGACUGGAAAGUCAGAGGUGAAAUCCCAGGGCUCAACCUUGGAACUGCCUUUGAAACUCCCAGUCUUGAGGUCGAGAGAGGUGAGUGGAAUUCCGAGUGUAGAGGUGAAAUUCGUAGAUAUUCGGAGGAACACCAGUGGCGAAGGCGGCUCACUGGCUCGAUACUGACGCUGAGGUGCGAAAGCGUGGGGAGCAAACAGG